GGAGAGAUGCGAGAGCGGUUGAAUCGGGCGGUCUCGAAAACCGUUGUACCCGCAAGGGUACCGUGGGUUCGAAUCCCACCCUCACCG
rnacentral:tRNA from 1 species